UAGUUGUCUCUCCGAAACCCUCACCCCCUCUAUAUCGCCCAAAACUCCCUCCCUCACUAAAUUGCACUAAAUUGUAUAGCAGAUUAGCAGAUAUUCCACAGCCUCUAUCUCAACUCUUCUAAUCCGGUCCUCACCAAAACUACCUCAGUCCCUCACCAAAACCUUCAUAUUAUAUCACCGCCUCUCUCUCCUUUGUUUUUAGAUAUAGAGAAAGAUCUCAGAGAGAGUUGGAAGAGGAGGGAGGAGGAAGGACUGCGAGAUACCAGAAAGAAGAAGAUUUCGUUUUUCCAGGCAUAUUUGAAAGAAUGGCUUCAAGACCAGGAGGAGAUUUGCAGUUGAGGGAGUUGUUGCUGGGGAACGGAGUAAAAGAACAUGGCGGCAGAGGGAAGGAAUUGUCGGGUACUUGGGGAUAUUGGCAAUAUGGUUACCCUUCGAGGGGCUGAAGGCAAGCAGCAGCUUCCUCAGGGGUCUAGCCCCCUCACAAGUCACAAGGGGUUUUUGUGCACAACUACUGGCUAAGCUGCAGAAGCUGACAAGAACUGGAAACAUAUUGGUCUGUGAAUGUGGAUGGAGUUGCUGCUGCAAAUGGAGUUGCCUAGAAAGCCUCCUCCCCAGAAAGAGAGCUACUGUGAAGCCAAUCAAGCCUGAAGCUGUGAUUGUAAUCAGCCCUGACACUAAAGAAGAGGUGAAGGAAAAGAACAACCUCCGCAGAAAGGCAGCAGCUGAAGAUUCAUCUAGAAAGAGUUAUACUGCAACUCUCACUGCUCGAAGCAAGGCUGCUUGUGGACUGAACAUUAAAUUACCAAAGGAGAAGAUUGAAGAUAUUGAUGCUGGAGAUGUGUACAAUGAGUUGGCAGUUCUGGUGUAUGCAGAAGACAUUUACAAGUUUUAAAAGGAAGCUGAGGCUGCUUGUGGACUGAACAUUAAAUUACCAAUGGAGAAGAUUGAAGAUAUUGAUGCUGGAGAUGUGUACAAUGAGUUGGCAGUUGUGGAGUAUGCAGAAGACAUUUACAAGUUCUACAAGGAAGCUGAGGCAAAUCACCUAUGCAGAAGACAUUUACAAGUUCUACAAGGAAGCUGAGGCAAAUCACCUAUGCAGAAGACAUUUACAAGUUAUACUAAAAUGGAAAAAUUGAGGAUUUAGAGGUCUACAAGGCUGCUUGGAUAUUAUGCUGUGUGGUGGAUCUGAUUCAGUAAUUAUACCAACUGGAGUGGGUGGAUUUAUUGCUUGCAGGGCACUUUCUCAGAGAAACAAUGAUCCUACUAGAGCUUCUCUACCUUUGGAUAGUGACCGCGAUGGGUUUGUCAUGGGUGAAGGAGCUGGAGUUCUGCUUCUGGAAGAACUUGAGCAUGCGAAGAAAAGAGGUGCAACAAUCUAUGCUGAAUUUCUCGGUGGAAGAACCUCACCCUGAAGGUUAUUCUUUCAGCUAUUGAAAAUGAUUUUAAACCUGCUGAUUUUCUUAAUCUCCUCAUGACCUACGCUAACUUCGACUGGUUGUCAAUUGUCAUUGUCCUUGUAGUUAAGCUGUUUUACUACUCUCUGUAUCUUUGCUGGAAUUAGGUCACUCAAUCAAAAAAAAUCAGUUUUCUUUUGUUUAUUGUUUGUAGUUGAACACGCCUUUAUAAAAGAGUGCAGUUACUGGUGUUGUCCUAUGCAUAGAGAGGGCAAUAGCUAAUUCUGGGUUAUGCAAGGAUGAUGUUAGCUAUAUAAGACUAUAUACCAGGGUCCUUUUAGAGAAGCCA